AGGCCCUGCCUGGUGGAGGAGCUGGUGGAGGCCCUGCCUGGUGAAGGACGUCUGUCGUGGGGUAGUUGGAGCUUGACUCGGAGACCAGGACUCUGUCUGAGGAGAGCUGAUGUAGGAGCUGAGACGCUGGAGGAGGACUAGGAAUCGACCAACAGGAUUCCUCAUAAAACGUGUUUCUGGAGCGGAUGCGAGCUGGUAGGGGAGCCGUGAAUCUGGAGGAUUACCAUCACACUACUAACAUGGAUUACGUUGGGGCCAGACUCGCGCUGUUUGUUCCAGACCAGGACUCUGGCUGAGGAGAGCUGAUGGAGGAGCCAAGACUCUGGAGGACGACAUCACUCUACCAACCAGGAUCCUCACCAGGAAUCUGGAGGACUGAUGGGGAAGCCGUACAUCUGGAAGGCAAAUCCUGAGGACAACCAGGACUCUACCAUCAAGGAUUCCUCACACACCUGAGCUGAACCUCACCUGAUCCUGUUUGGUCGGGGGUAGACACACCUGAGCUGAACCCGCCCUGAUCCUGACAUCCUGCUGGUCCCGUCUCCUCAGUUCAUCUGCGCCUUGUCCUCCAGAAGACCUGCUGAGUUCAGCAGUCUGAGGCUGAGGGAUCAAUGACCUCCAGUGGGAGUGAUCUUCUUGACCCCACAUUUAACCGUGUGCUUCCACACACCUUUCUCUCACGUCUGUCACUAACAUCACUACUUCACUACUCUCUACUGCUUCCUCUUCUUCUUCCUUCUCUGUGGUUCGAACCUUUACACUGAAGGCGCGUCUUCCUGCCCUCAGAGGGUUCAGCGUUAGGGUUGAGAGUCAGGGUUUAGAGUCAGGGACAGAGCUGGUCAGGGAGGACUUCUUUUACACAAAGAACUUGCUUUCGGAAUGGUGGUGACAUUUUGAAAAUAUUAAUUUGGGAAAAUGUUUUCCUCUGCUUUCCUUUACAAGAUUGUAUUAAACUUCUGUCAAGUGUUUGUUUAUAUUAAAAUCCCACAUUGACUUCUA